CCUACGGGAGGCAGCAGUGGGGAAUAUUGGGCAAUGGGCGAAAGCCUGACCCAGCGACGCCGCGUGCGGGAUGAAGGCCUUCGGGUUGUAAACCGCUUUCAGCAGGGAAGAAGCGAAAGUGACGGUACCUGAAGAAGAAGCACCGGCUAACUAUGUGCCAGCAGCCGCGGUAAUACAUAGGGUGCAAGCGUUGUCCGGAAUUAUUGGGCGUAAAGAGCUCGUAGGUGGUUCGUUACGUCGGAUGUGAAAACCUGAGGCUCAACCUCAGGCCUGCAUUCGAUACGGGCGAACUUGAGUGUGGUAGGGGAGGCUGGAAUUCCUGGUGUAGCGGUGGAAUGCGCAGAUAUCAGGAGGAACACCAAUGGCGAAGGCAGGCCUCUGGGCCACUACUGACACUGAGGAGCGAAAGCGUGGGGAGCAAACAGGAUUAGAUACCCUGGUAGUCCACGCUGUAAACGGUGGGCACUAGUUGUGGGAACCUUCCACGGUUUCUGCGACGUAGCAAACGCAUUAAGUGCCCCGCCUGGGGAGUACGAUCGCAAGAUUAAAACUCAAAGGAAUUGACGG
rnacentral:rRNA from 2 species